rnacentral:rRNA from 1 species
GACGAACGCUGGCGGCGUGCCUAAUACAUGCAAGUCGAACGCAGUGGGGACGGGUGAGUAACAAGUGGCUAACCUCCCAUCAGAGGGGAUAAAACUUGGAAACAGGUGCUAAACCGCUACUGAUGGAUGAACCCGCGGUGCAUUAGCUAGUUGGUGAGGUAACGGCUCACCAAGGCAACGAUGCAUAGCCGACCUGAGAGGAUGAUCAGCCACACUGGUAAUGAGACACUGCCCAGACUCCUACGGGAGGCAGCAGUAGGGAAUCUUCGGCAAUGGAAGAAAGUCGGACCGAGCAACGCCGCGUGAGUGAAGAAGGUUUUCGGAUCGUAAAACUCUGUUGUUAGAGAAGCGGUAUCUAACCAGAAAGCCACGGCUAACUGCGUGCCAGCAGCCGCGGUAAUUC